GUUGAUGUGAACCAAACAAUUUUUUUUUAAUGAGAAAUACGAUUCUAUAGAAUGUCAUCCGAUGGAAUAAUCGAACCAAACACCCCCUAAACUGGCCGUGCUGCACGAGAAUAUACUGAAGAAAACGGUCAUUGCCCAUUCAAGUAUACGGGAGUGACGAACUCACGGGAGUGCUAACGAGGGAGAGAGGAUGGACGAUUCGGGAGCUAUACUUUGUCAAAUAUCUUCACUCAAGGACAUGCUAGACCAUGUAAAUGAGGAAAUUGAGGCAAACAUUCAGACAACGAGAGAUAUAGAAUCUGAACUUGUAAAAUGUUCUGAGAUCGAGAGCUGUUUUGUGAUGAGAGAAUCGAAUUUGAUGAAGGCGAUAUGCGUUGGUGAAUUUGAUGUGAACAGCUUGAUCCAAGUGAAAGCUGCAGGAGCAACCUCAUUGGAACUCCUGGAGAAGGAAUUAAGUUGUUUAAGAAUGAAGCGGGAGGAGGCAAUUGAAAGAAUGGCUAAAAAACGGGAAGCAUUUGUUAUUCAAUGUAGAAAUUUUCAAAGGGACAUCGUCGAGGGAGAAAAUGAGGAAUUAAAGUCAUUGUUGUUGGAUAAAGAUCUUCUUGAAAUUGAAAAUGAUAAUUUGAAUGCAAAAAAUGAUAUGCUGAGAAAUUCAAUGUCAGCGUUUGUAGAAGAGAUCCUUGGGGAGCUUCAUGGUUCUAAUUCAGGUGCUAUGGAUUUUCCGUACUACCAGGAGGUUCAGGACUUCAUCACUAGUCAUCAUUCUUCUUUCGAUCCCUUGGUGCCAUGAAUUGGAUUGGUAUUGCUGAUACUGAUAUAAUACAGCCGAUACAGUCUAUACGAUAUCAAUACUUGAAACCAUGCUUGGUAUUGAGAACUUAGUUUUCUUUAUCCAAUCUGUGCAAUCAUGGUUAUUGGAUGCUGGUUUUAUGCUGAUGCCUUAAAUGUCGAUAUUCUUUGUGGAAAUUUGGAAAACGAAAAAUUGCUUGAGGAUAUUGAUGAGUUGAAGACUACAUUACUGGCAGCAAGUUUGUGUUGGAAUCACUAGCCACGCAGGAAUCUCCAUCAUUUGUCAGAGUCGAGAGAGGCCAUUGAAGGGAUGGGUGAGGUUUCGCCGGAAAAGAUGGGUGAGCUAUCGCAAGAGCAGAGCUGAGGCUGCAAAUUAAGGUUGGAAGAGACUUUAGUUCUCUUCAUUGAAGGGUAAAUACACCUUCUCACAAGUUUGGAGGGUAGUUUUGUCAUUUAUAAGUUUUGAGCAUAGUGACAUCAGCACUUAACAAUUGCAUACUAACAGACUGGGGCUGGAUGCAAGAAAUUUGAAAAUGUCAGGUAAGAUUUGUAGAUACGCAGAUAGAGGGGGAGGGGGAAUGUAAUUCAAACAAAGUAGAGGGGGGAGGGCCAUGUAAAUUACCCAAAAAAUAUAAACCAUUAAAAAGGGAAACAAUUACCUUUAGUACCUCAUGGUUAAGGGUGUUAAUCGGUUC